UCUCCCUUGACCUUGACCUGUCAAAGUCUCUGCUACCAAGAAAUCUUCUUUCCCUGCCACCUUCUCUUCGGUCAUCACCAGGCCUUUUCCAUAUAUCUUGUGUGCCACUGCCACGUGAUCGAGGCCUAUCCACAUACUCCAUACUUCUAGAUUCAUCAAAAGACCCAGAUCGAGAAUAUGGUCUCUCAGAGAAACUAGCAGCCCUCCCUGCCUCAGAACCUGGCCUUUCGAUGGCUUUCUGCCCAAAUCGAACUUUGUC
rnacentral:misc_RNA from 1 species